UACAGAGGUCUCGAGCGUUAGGCGGAAUCACUGGGCUUAAAGCGUGUGUAGGUGGAUCGUUAAGUACCUUGUGAAAUCCCACGGCUUAACCGUGGAACUGCUUGGUAUACUGGCGGUCUUGAGUCAGCUAGGGGCUACCGGAACAAAUGGUGGAGCGGUGAAAUGCGUAGAUAUCAGGACGAACACCGGUGGCGAAGGCGGAUCUCUGGGCCUGUUCUGACGCUGAGGCGCGAAAGCUAGGGGAGCGAACAGG
rnacentral:rRNA from 1 species